rnacentral:rRNA from 1 species
UGAGGGAAUAUUGGGUCAAUGGACGUAAGUCUGAACCAGCCAAGUAGCGUGAAGGAUGACUGCCCUAUGGGUUGUAAACUUCUUUUAUAUGGGAAUAAAGUAUUCCACGUGUGGGAUUUUGUAUGUACCAUAUGAAUAAGGAUCGGCUAACUCCGUGCCAGCAGCCGCGGUAAUACGGAGGAUCCGAGCGUUAUCCGGAUUUAUUGGGUUUAAAGGGAGCGUAGGUGGAUUGUUAAGUCAGUUGUGAAAGUUUGCGGCUCAACCGUAAAAUUGCAGUUGAAACUGGUAGUCUUGAGUACAGUAGAGGUGGGCGGAAUUCGUGGUGUAGCGGUGAAAUGCUUAGAUAUCACGAAGAACUCCGAUUGCGAAGGCAGCUCACUAGACUGUCACUGACACUGAUGCUCGAAAGUGUGGGUAUCAAACAGGAUUAGAUACCCUGGUAGU